rnacentral:rRNA from 1 species
UACGUAGGGUCCGAGCGUUGUCCGGAAUUAUUGGGCGUAAAGGGCUCGUAGGCGGUUAGUCGCGUCGGGAGUGAAAACUCAGGGCUCAACCCUGAGCGUGCUUCCGAUACGGGCUGACUAGAGGUAUGCAGGGGAGAACGGAAUUCCUGGUGUAGCGGUGGAAUGCGCAGAUAUCAGGAGGAACACCCGUGGCGAAGGCGGCUCUCUGGUUGACAUCUGACGCUGAGACGCGAAAGCGUGGGGAGCGAACGGG